AGGGCUUGACGAAAGGAGCAUUGUUGCACCCUUUUUCAGAAGCACCUCCUGCUGCCGUGUUGGCCUUCCUCUCCGAAAGAUGUGUGUGAAAGGAGCUUUGAGCUAUAUCCUUCUUUGAGGGGAGAGUCAUCUGAUCACUGUGCUGCUAUCAGACGCCAGUCGUUUCCAGCCACCAUUGCCCAGAGAAGUUCUUUUCCACCCACCCAGGACUUUCCAGCAUACCUUCCUUCUUGCAGCCAAAUAAGAUUCUCCACCUUUGAGUUGCGGGUGUCAGGUAUUUUAUCUCCGCAAUGAGAAAAGUGACCAAGACAACUGACUUUGUUAUUUGGCUGUGAAUUUUCAGAGACAUGAGAUCAAUGUCACAGUCAGGAAAAUGUAGAUUUGGAGCCUGUCAAGAUUCUUCAGCGUCAUGUGGCCUGUG